GGUUUUGCGAAGAAGCGGGACAUAUUAUUGGCAUUUUACUAUAAUUAUUGUAUGCAUCCGCUCCAUAGCCUCGAACAACAUCUUGAUCUGCUAGACUGUAUUAUUGAGAUGUUAUGGGAGAUACACCAUAGCUUAAGGGAUAAGGUGAAGAUACGGAGGUUAUAUGAAACUGUUCCAGAACCUUGGGCCUCAGUGAUAAAUGAGAUUGUG
rnacentral:lncRNA from 1 species